CUUAUUUGUUUUCUGUGGACAGAGUUUUGAACCUCAGUCAUUUUCGUCUCCCCGAGUUGAUGAAAACCCCAUGGCACAUCACUUCCGGAGCUGUUCUAUCCAAAGGAAGACAGGAUUCGUCUACCUAUGCUACAGGAACUCACCAUGGAAACAACAGAACCGAAGAAAAUUAAGCGGAACAAAGCAACAUUGCUGCGACUCCUCAACACAGGCAGCAACCGUUGAAGGAAAAAAAAUUUUUAAAUGGGCUUCAAAGAAUGUAAGGGCUGGAGAAUGCGGAGGAACGCUGAGAAACACUGUCUAUUGAUGAACUCUCAACCACCGUGCUGACCUGCACAAGAUGAAGCCAAGCCAAACCCCAGUGCGUAAAGGGAAGCCAUUGCCAACUGGUGAUUGUUGGAAGAAGGAGAACUGAUUUUCUUUAGGGAGGCAGACCCUGGGAAGCUACCUGAGCCAUUUGUGGAGGAAUCACCCUGUGCACGUAUUCGCAGCACUAAGUUGACUCAGUGAGUAUAAAAAGAAAAGCGCGUGGGGCGGAGAGGGGAAAGUGGUGCCUUGGGAGUCGGGCGGAGAGGAAGUAGAGCAGAAGGAACUCAGGGUAGAUUCGAUUCAAACUCACUUUAG
rnacentral:lncRNA from 1 species